rnacentral:lncRNA from 1 species
UUGUAACACUUUUAAAUGUAUUUGCCUUAUGUUUUUAGUAAAUUAUAUAUUACAUAUUUGUACAAUGACAUGCUACAUUAGGUCUUGUUUGGUAGAGCUCCAUCUAAUUUUGAUUUUAUCUGCUUUAUGCAUUAGAGCAAUGAGCCAUUUUUAUUUCUCUUAAAAUGAAUCAGGAUUCAUUGAAAUCACUUUUUUGUUUUAUUGGUUCUAGCUCCUCCAUGUAUCAUAGCAAAAAAAUCAAAGUUGUUUGUUGACAUGUUAAACGAGACUAUAUGAUUAACAAAAAAAUUUAUUAAACUAGACCAUCGAAGAUUAAAUCCUAGCUGCACCACUGGAUCCCAUGGGCGAUCACCAGCGUUCAAGCUCGAGAGAUUCUAUGGAUUCCACAUUAGAUAGUGUGUCUUCAUAGCCGGUGUUUGCUGAAAUUUAAUUCAUGCAUGAAAAAAAUAAAACCCCAAAAAUAGAGUGUGUAAAAAGGUUUGCUUUAAUUUUUAGUUGGUAGUAGAACUUGAAGGCUAGACUUUUCUGAGUAAUAAAAAUAUGAAAUAUGACUUCCUUCACAUGCUUAGUAUUUAAAUCAAGAUUCGCCUACAGAUUGAAUGAAGUUGUCCUUAUAUGAAAAUUUAUUCUAAGCUUGAUAUUUGUGGGUAGCAUAUUCUUGACCCUAAGUCUAGGUAAUUGUUGGACAUGAUUAGAGAAGGUCUAAGCUGUUGUUUAUCUUACUCUAAACAAUGCUAAAAUUCUGGAGAUUUACUUUUUCAAAAAUGCAAAAUAUUACAUGAUGAGAUCUUGUAUGGCAAUGCUAAAUUCCUACCAAAGCCAUAAUGAAUACUUAGGCUAGGAAGCUUUCAACAUAAUACUGCUUGUCAUUUCAUUGAGUUUGAUCAACCUUUGUGACCCUAAUGAGAGACUUGUCAUGCUUUUAAAAUCGAGAUUCACAUGCACUCCACUUAUAUAUAUGCACUACUCUACACUAGAGUAGGCGCAACAAUAUGCCAUUCCACUCUUGUUAGAAAAAUGUUUUACUCCUACACCGGGAGGAAACACCCAAAAAUAUUCCAUUAGGAUAGCCACCAAAUAAAUGCUCAAAUAUCUUAUGUUAUUAUCUCUCAGUUUUAUAGGCUGUGAGUUAUGCAAAAUAAAUAAAGAAAAAUGGACAAGUGUCCCAAAAAAAGAGAGAAAAAGAGAAGAGAGAAAGAAAGAAAAAGGAUAGCUCACAAUGCAUGGCAAUAUUUCUGAAUUUCAAAAGAGAGAUAAGGAUGAGCAUAAUAAAAUUAGGAUUAUUAGUUUCCACCAAAUAUCGACCAUAUUCCAUGUAAUACCCGAUUUUAAGGAUAAAACCAGAUAUGCACCGUAUGCGAGUUUUAAAAGGCAAAUCUCACAUAUAGCUACAAAUAAGGGCUAAUAUCAAAAGACAAUGCAUAAAUUAUAUAACGUACUUAGUAUAAAAGAGAUAACCUUUGAUAGCAAACAGCGGAUAGGAAACUCCAAACUUCGGGUAUUAACUUCACUCAACAGGAUCCAACUGACUGGUUGAUCACAAGCCGAAACUUCUCCUGAGGUUUGGGGGAAAUAGCAAGAGUGAGUCCAUGUCGAACUUCACAAGUAUAGCAACUAGAUUGUAUAGAUCCCACAAUCUCAUGAUCAGUGUGACAUAAAUAAUGUAAAGCAUUAAACAAUAAAUAGUGAGCAUAUUUAACACACAAGAAUCAUCAUCGUCGAUGCAAGAAUCCCCAAGGCCGCUCAUGACCAUGAGCAUGGCUAGUAUACCUGUUUUACACUCUGCAGAGGUUGUAUAUCUUUACCCAUGAGUCAUGAUUUACCCUUUCGCCCGAGGUGACCAGCCUCUUAACCCACUUCCAAGGAAGGUCGGCAGGGAUCACUAUGAAGCCUUUCAAAAGUUUGUCUAACAUGUUAGGGCCGCAAGGUUUCCUUUGCCCGCAGAUAUAGAGCCCCCCUUCCGAUGGCACAAUGACGCGCAGCCUAUACACAUACAGACAGAGGCCACACUAUACCCAAAACGGUUCAGCCCCUCCGCCCUUUCGGGUAACCUCUAACAAGCUAGAAAAGGUCUUCAUACUGAGCUAAAGCCAGAGCCAUUAUAGCCCUCAUGGUUGCACUGUUGUCCCGGUUAUCACUUACAGAUAAAUCAUCAAAUGGCUAAAAAGUCAUUUUUAUCAUUUAUUACUUAACAUUAAUCUAGUCACAGGAUCAUGGUCACAGAAAUAAAAUCCAAAUGCUAUACUUGCCUUAAUCCAAUUGUUCUUGCUGAUCUUGCUGAUCUUACUAGUUGUCCAAAGCUCUUAUCUUGAUCACCACGAGUUGCUCACCGACUAAACUCGAUCAUCGAUCACCAACACACAAACAAUCGGAGGCAAACAUACAUAAAGCAAACAAUGCUAC